CUUGCUUCUUGCUCCAACUUAGGAGUAGGGGCUCUAGAGCUUUUUCCGCAGGCUGCUAUGCUAGUUGUAGCGCGGUAGCGCUUUACUAAUAUAAUAGAAAGUCAAGUUAGUGUUAUGGUGCAGCGGAAAUGCAAAAGAGAAGAGCAAAGAUUCCCGACCCAGUGCGGUAGUGCUUUACUAAUAUAAUAGAAAGUCAAGUUAGGGUUAAGGUGCAGCGGAAAUGCAAAAGAGAAGAGCAAAGAUUCCCGACCCAGAGCAGAGCAUGUUAUUGACUCAAGCACAAAUCUGUUGAAUGAAGGUAGCUUGCUUACUCUCAGACACUAGUUAGACGGGAAUCCCUUGACUUCGCUUAUGCCCUUAUUUAUGCAGUAAAGAAAGCAAGUGAGGCGGGCUAAGAUUCCAUUCGAAGUAACGUAACAGGAUUCGAUGUUGCACCAUCUUCCAUUCUUCUCCGGAUUUACCCGGUGAGGGUGGCGCGUGUGAGUCAACGUUGACACUUUCAA
rnacentral:lncRNA from 1 species